rnacentral:tRNA from 1 species
GGGGUUGUGGCUCAGUGGUAGAGCACUUGCCUAGCAUGUGUGAGGCCCUGGGUUCAAUCCUCAGCACCA